rnacentral:rRNA from 1 species
UGGGGAAUCUUGGACAAUGGGCGCAAGCCUGAUCCAGCCAUGCCGCGUGAGUGAAGAAGGCCUUAGGGUUGUAAAGCUCUUUUGGCAGGGACGAUAAUGACGGUACCUGCAGAAUAAGCCCCGGCAAACUUCGUGCCAGCAGCCGCGGUAAUACGAAGGGGGCUAGCGUUGUUCGGAUUUACUGGGCGUAAAGCGCACGUAGGCGGCUUUCCAAGUUGGAGGUGAAAUCCCCGGGCUUAACCCGGGAACUGCCUCCAAAACUGAAAGGCUAGAGUCCGAGAGAGGUGAGUGGAAUUUCCAGUGUAGAGGUGAAAUUCGUAGAUAUUGGAAAGAACACCAGUGGCGAAGGCGGCUCACUGGCUCGGUACUGACGCUGAGGUGCGACAGCGUGGGGAGCAAACA